GAGGGAGGGCGCGAGCGGCCGGGCCGGGAGGUGCGGAAGUUCGCCGCGGCCGCUCAUUGGCGCCCGGCGCCGCUUUCAUCAUUUCUCGGAAAAGUCCAUUUCAUUUUCGCUUCCCCACGUCGCGGCAGCGGGAGCAACAAGCGGCUGCUCCAAAAUCAGCCUCCUCCCAAAGUUCUCUAUCCAACCAAGAGAGGCCCUUCUCCGGAGGCCAACUAUUUACACGUGAACACGUCUCUAAGAGCAUAGCCCAGCAUCCCUCUUUGCCACAGAAGUAUUGAAUUCUGUGCAUUGGAAGAAGAAAAGUAUCUGAGUGCGUAUGUGCUGAGACAGCUGAGCGUUUAGGAUUCUGUUUUGUGGCUGCAAUCUCAGAACUAGAUCCCACUGCACACAUUGCUUCCUGUCCCCCCUCCUAUGAUCCUAUCUGACACAGCCGCUUGCUUUCUUAUUUCACAGAACAUUGCCCACUCCGGGUGGUAGAGUCAUUAUAUACAAAGUCUUUAGGGCAGUUGACACUCCCUCCACCACCUGGGGACCCAAGUUAAAAACCUAGUAGUCCUGCUUGAUGUCUUCUUUCCCGCAACAUACACCCAAUCAGUGGCAUCCGACUGACCUGUUGAUGUCACUCCCAGAUACGUGUGGACCCGGGCCCUUCUCCGUCUCCACUCUGCCAGCUGAGCCUGCCUCCAACCGUGCUCCUUCAGGCUAGCAGCCACACUAUGUCUAAUUAAGUAGAAAAUGAACUACAAGAAAAGCACGAUUCCAACCCUAACUCCCUUCCAAAACUUCUCUGGAGACUUCAGAAUAAAGUCUUUAUUUAUUUACAGAGAGAGAGAACUAGAGUGAGUACAGUGGAGGGGAGGCGGGUAGCGGGAGAGAGAGACUCUUAAGCAGGCUCCAUCUCCCAACCCCGAGAUCAUGACCUGAGCCAAAAUCAAGCAUCACUUAACCGACUGAGCCACCCAGGCGCCCCAGUAAGUCCAUAUCAUUUAACAAAACCUGUAAAAUCCAUUAUGAUCUGUCACCAAGCCCUUGAGCAGCCUCAUCUCAUGCUGCUGGGCCCCACAGUCCUCCCUCGUCAAACACGCUGCCAUUCCAUUUUGUGAAACAGCCAUCCUGAGGUCUGUUGUGUUGUCCUUAGCGUGGUACCCCGCACACGGGCACUCAAAUACUUGUCCAUUAAUCAUUACCUGCCCUUAUUUUUUUCUCGUGAAAUAUUUUAGACUUCAUCAGAGUAUUUUUAUUGUUUAAUGUAUUGUGACCGAUAUUUAUUGUGUGGAAUGCAGAAAAUGCAGCAAAGCUGAAAGAGGAAAAUCAGCCACCUGGAAUCUCACCAAUCAGGAAUUGGACUGUUGAUAUUUUUUAUUUCCUUCUUUAGUUUUUCGAAAGGGCCACCUCCAGGGCCACCGAUGCAAUCUUUCCAUAUCCUGUAGUAGGGCCCGUCGGUGCUAUUUUCCAGGAUGUCCGUGUGACUCCCCUGUGUCCUGUUCUAUUUCUCAGCUGGCUCCUCUCCUGCUGCCAGCCCCCUAAAUUAUGGGUUUUCCAGACAUUCCAUCUUAAACCCUUCCAUUUUCUCAUUCCACAUGCCUUCUGAGUGCUCUCACUCAUGCCCAAAGCUUCAGCUAGCUUUAUUUGGUGAUAGCCCCAAAGUCUGUAGCUCCUGAGGUCUGGACGCAUUACCUCUUAGGUGUUCAACAAAGUAUGCAUGUCUAAAACUAAACUCAUCACAUCUUUCCCAACAACCUUGUAUAUUUGUCGCCUCGCGGACCCACCAGGAGACUGGCAGACGUCACUGACUCCUGCCUUUCCUGAGUACCCCCUGGAGCUCCAUGAGGCAUGCGAACUGUUUCCAAUUUUUCAGGUCCCGAAACACAUAAAGCACAGAAUGAAUUUCGCUCUGUUCCUAUGACCUGGGUGACGUAUCAUUACAGGCCAAAAGGGUAAAUACGCCCCCCAAAUCCACCUGGUAUUCAUAUACACAGUCAAGAAAUAUUUCUUAGCACUUCAAUGAGAUAUAUACAGUCAUAAAUCUCUGUGGGAAAUGGAUCAAUAUAGCAAAAUAGAACCUUUUUGAAAGUCUCUGAAAAAAGUAACCUUUGCCAUACCAUAGAAAUCUGACCAGACACCUGGUCACCUGCCAUUGUUCAGACAGUCUUAUAUCAUGAAACCAGAGUGAUCUCCUGAGUGAGGCAUGUUAAUGUUUCACCUGCAGAAUGGGACCUUCUAAAGAAAGAUCUACCUGCAUGCAUUGGGACUAUUUUCUUUUCAAGGAAGUUGAGUAAGAGCAGUGAUUAGUUGGACAUGUGGUGAUCGGUAUCUCCAUGAAGGAUUUCAACUAAGGAAGAAAUUUAAAGAUACGUUCAAGGUUAACCCCUUUCAAAUGGGUUUCUCAUUUAUUUUGCUAACAAGAGUAUUUCCUAAAAUUAUCAUUCAAAUAGCAAACAUUUAUUAAGUGCCCACGAAUUUUUCUCAAUACCGGGAAUACAGCACUGAUCCAAAACCAUUGGAAAUCUCUGUCUCCUGAGACGAUUUCUCACAGUCUAAGAAGUUGGCAUGUUAAUUUCCAUGACAUCAUCCCGGUCUCCCAGCCAUCCCCUCCAUCUGUAAUCACAGCCUUUAGAAAUGCACAUUAAAAUUAAGAAUGUGCAGUCCGAUGGCUCGCUCACUAAAGUGUUGAGUAUUUACAGUUCUGAUUAAAUCAGUAGCCCCUCA